rnacentral:rRNA from 1 species
GAUGAACGCUGGCGGCGUGCCUAAUACAUGCAAGUCGAGCGAACGGACGAGAAGCUUGCUUCUCUGAUGUUAGCGGCGGACGGGUGAGUAACACGUGGAUAACCUACCUAUAAGACUGGGAUAACUUCGGGAAACCGGAGCUAAUACCGGAUAAUAUUUUGAACCGCAUGGUUCAAAAGUGAAAGACGGUCUUGCUGUCACUUAUAGAUGGAUCCGCGCUGCAUUAGCUAGUUGGUAAGGUAACGGCUUACCAAGGCAACGAUGCAUAGCCGACCUGAGAGGGUGAUCGGCCACACUGGAACUGAGACACGGUCCAGACUCCUACGGGAGGCCGAAGUAGGGAAUCUUCCGCAAUGGGCGAAAGCCUGACGGAGCAACGCCGCGUGAGUGAUGAAGGUCUUCGGAUCGUAAAACUCUGUUAUUAGGGAAGAACAUAUGUGUAAGUAACUGUGCACAUCUUGACGGUACCUAAUCAGAAAGCCACGGCUAACUACGU